AGUGAACGCUGGCGGUAUGCCUAACACAUGCAAGUCGAACGGCAGCACAGUAAGAGCUUGCUCUUACUGGUGGCGAGUGGCGGACGGGUGAGGAAUACAUCGGAAUCUACUUUUUCGUGGGGGAUAACGUAGGGAAACUUACGCUAAUACCGCAUACGUCCUACGGGUGAAAGCAGGGGAUCUUCGGACCUUUCGCGAUUGAAUGAGCCGAUGUCGCAUUAGCUAGUUGGCGGGGUAAAGGCCCACCAAGGCGACGAUCCGUAGCUGGUCUGAGAGGAUGAUCAGCCACACUGGAACUGAGACACGGUCCAGACUCCUACGGGAGGCAGCAGUGGGGAAUAUUGGACAAUGGGCGCAAGCCUGAUCCAGCCAUACCGCGUGGGUGAAGAAGGCCUUCGGGUUGUAAAGCCCUUUUGUUGGGAAAGAAAAGCAGCAGGUUAAUACCCCGCUGUUCUGACGGUACCCAAAGAAUAAGCACCGGCUAACUUCGUG
rnacentral:rRNA from 1 species